GGGGUUAUAGCUCAGUUGGUAGAGUGCUUGCAUGGCAUGCAAGAUGUCAGCGGUUCGAGUCCGCUUAACUCCA